GCUAAAGUAGCAAAGUAGUUAAUGCAGAAGGCCUAAGACCUUCCUAUCAAAGGUUCAAAUCCUUUCUUUAGCU
rnacentral:tRNA from 1 species